rnacentral:tRNA from 1 species
GUGCACUUAGCUCAGUGGUUAGAGCACCCUUCUAGAGAGGGUAAAAUAAGUCAUGGGUCCAAAUCCCAUAGUGCACA